rnacentral:rRNA from 1 species
GCAUGUUUUUGACAUUUGAAAAAUGGACUGCUCAGUAAUACUCACUUUAUUUUAUGUAAAUUUUUAAUUAACUACGUUAAAGUGUAGAUAAGAUGUUUACAGUAAGAGUGAGACCUAUCAGCUAGUUGUUAAGGUAAUGGCUUAACAAGGCUGUGACGGGUAACGGUAUUACUUUGUAAUAUUCCGGAGAAGGAGCCUGAGAGACGGCUACUAAGUCUAAGGAUUGCAGCAGGGGCGAAACUUGACCUAUGGAUUUUAUCUGAGGCAGUUAUGGGAAGUAAUAUUAUAUUGUUUCAUAUUUUAAAAGUAUAUGAGGUGAUUAAUUGGAGGGCAAAUCAAGUGCCAGCAGCCGCGGUAAUACUUGUUCCAAGAGUGUGUAUGAUGAUUGAUGCAGUUAAAAAGUCCGUAGUUUAUUUUUUAAGAAGCAAUAUGAGGUGUACUGUAUAGUUGGGAGAAAGAUGAAAUGUGACGACCCUGACUGGACGAACAGAAGCGAAAGCUGUACACUUGUAUGUAUUUUUUGAACAAGGACGUAAGCUGGAGGAGCGAAGAUGAUUAGAUACCAUUGUAGUUCCAGCAGUAAACUAUGCCGACGAUGUGAUAUGGAAAUAUUAAUUUGUAUUACAUAAUAGAAAUUUGAGUUUUUUGGCUCUGGGGAUAGUAUGAUCGCAAGAUUGAAAAUUAAAGAAAUUGACGGAAGAAUACCACAAGGAGUGGAUUGUGCGGCUUAAUUUGACUCAACGC